UGCGAGAUAGUGUAAUGGUAACACGGUGGUUUCAUGGUCCGCUAUCGGAAAGUUCGAUUCUUCCUCUCGCGU